AUUGAACGCUGGCGGCAGGCCUAACACAUGCAAGUCGAACGGUAACAGGAAGAAGCUUGCUUCUUUGCUGACGAGUGGCGGACGGGUGAGUAAUGUCUGGGAAACUGCCUGAUGGAGGGGGAUAACUACUGGAAACGGUAGCUAAUACCGCAUAACGUCGCAAGACCAAAGAGGGGGACCUUCGGGCCUCUGCCAAUCGGAUGGGCCCAGAUGGGAUUGGCUAGUAGGUGGGGUAACGGCUCACCUAGGCGACGAUCCCUAGCUGGUCUGAGAGGAUGACCAGCCACACUGGAACUGAGACACGGUCCAGACUCCUACGGGAGGCAGCAGUGGGGAAUAUUGCACAAUGGGCGCAAGCCUGAUGCAGCCAUGCCGCGUGUAUGAAGAAGGCCUUCGGGUUGUAAAGUACUUUCAGCGGGGAGGAAGGGAGUAAAGUUAAUACCUUUGCUCAUUGACGUUACCCGCAGAAGAAGCACCGGCUAACUCCGUG
rnacentral:rRNA from 1 species